rnacentral:lncRNA from 1 species
GACAUAUAUUCAUUGACUGCUAGGCAAAUUUGAAAUGAUAUUUUUAACCUCGCAACGAUUUUACAUAUAGCUGAGGAAACCGGGCUUCUGCUCAUUUCACUUCACGGGCAGCACGGAGACUUUUACUGAAGACGGAAAGAAACUGCAACGAAAUAUGGUGAUGAAAGGUUUAUUGAUGAUCUGUUUGUUUCUCGUGGUCUUUGAAUUUUCGCGGGGAAAUGUGAUGUCAGGACAAAUAACUGAUUGCGAAAUACAUGGUGGAUUUUGUAUACCUUUCUAUCAAAAUAGUCCAACCUGCGCAGACUAUGGCGCAGUGCCCUACGCAUAUUCGUGUCUUUUAGGAGCAAACUGUUGCCGCUAAGACUGAAACUAAGAUGUGGGACAGGUACACUAAACUUUGUGUUGUGAGUUUGUUUUCAAGUUGAA